rnacentral:rRNA from 1 species
GGAAUAUUGGACAAUGGGCGAAAGCCUGAUCCAGCCAUGCCGCGUGUGUGAAGAAGGUCUUCGGAUUGUAAAGCACUUUAAGUUGGGAGGAAGGGCAUUUACCUAAUACGUAAGUGUUUUGACGUUACCGACAGAAUAAGCACCGGCUAACUCUGUGCCAGCAGCCGCGGUAAUACAGAGGGUGCAAGCGUUAAUCGGAAUUACUGGGCGUAAAGCGCGCGUAGGUGGUUUGUUAAGUUGAAUGUGAAAUCCCCGGGCUCAACCUGGGAACUGCAUCCAAAACUGGCAAGCUAGAGUAUGGUAGAGGGUGGUGGAAUUUCCUGUGUAGCGGUGAAAUGCGUAGAUAUAGGAAGGAACACCAGUGGCGAAGGCGACCACCUGGACUGAUACUGACACUGAGGUGCGAAAGCGUGGGGAGCAAACAGGAUUAGAUACCCCAG